GCCAGUAUGGUGGCUAUGACCCUCGGCUUGUAACUGAGUGGGUUCGGGUUCGAAUCCCGAGUAAAAACA
rnacentral:tRNA from 1 species